ensembl:lncRNA
AGAGACAUGGACAGAUAGUGAGAAGGAUGGAAAGAUAGGAGGUGGUGGAAUAAACAAAUAGUGAGAGAUCAAAUGAGAGAUAGGAGAAGGUAGAGACAGAGAUAGUGAGAUAGACAGACAGAGAGACAGAGAGUGUUAGAGAUGGAGGGAGAUAUAGGAGGAGGUGGAGACAGACCCACAUAGAGGAAUGUUGAUCUAGCCCCUACAGCAGGUGCUGCUGCGCCGGGAGACGAGCGAGUGGAGGCAUGUAUCAUGCCCAGACAGGUUCAGGGAAAGUCCAGCUGGUCAGUUCAGGGAGAGAGCCAGACCAAUGCAGGCAGCCCAAAGACUAGACCACCUGAGAGGGAAAAGGCUGUAGAGAGUGAGGAGUGUGUCAGCCUUCACUGCACUAAAGUUUGGCUGUUGAGUCUCCUCUAGUAUGGUUGACCACCCUAUGUAUGAGAGCCUAAGGAGUUGUUUUCCCUCUGUCCCCUUUUGAGGACCUGCUUUGUCUCCUCCAUCAUUAACUGAGCCACUUUUGGGUUCCUGAGCUGAUUUCAUGUGGUUUUCCUGACCUGCUAGAAGUUCUUCCAUGAUGCUUGAGAGAGAGAGAGAGAGAGAGAGAGAGAGAGAGAGAGAGAGAGAGAGAGAGAGAGAGAGAGAGAGAGAGAGAGAGAGAGAGAGAGAGAGAUUAAUCUUUACUUUGUGAGUUUAUUAUGCAACUUAUUUUGUCUCAGAUUCAAACAAAAGGUUUGAUUAUGAUAAUUUCCUGGUGAAAAUAUGAUGAUUUUUUAUUUCAAACAUCUGCAUAUCUUUGUGUGCAGAUGUUUGAAUGUGCACAUACACGUAUAUGAGAAUGCAUAUCUACUCAGACCUGUAAUUCAUGUCUUAGACUUUUUCACACAGCUAUAGAUAAUUAUUAUUUUUCUCUAUUUAUGGUUCCAUAAUGACUGAGUCACCGUUAAAAAAAUUUGUUUCAGCUCUAAUGCUGAUACUGUCUGUAAUAUGUUUCUAUUUAGAUUAUUUGUCAGGAUACUUUGUUAUUAUUGUCCGAGUCUGGUUUUAACUAAUGCUGGGCUUACACAAAAAUAUAUUCACAUUCACAGACUAAAAACUGAAAGGGUAGCAUAGGGUUCUUCCUGUUAGUCUCGUCCCACCCCUAGUCAUGACAUAACUUCUGUUUUCAUGUGAUGUGACUAUAAUGAAUAAAGACUGAUUGAUUGAUUGCUAUAGCGGUCAAUUUUAGUCCUUGGGGCCUAUCUUGCAUCCGGCGCAAUUUACUUUCUCACUGGCGCAUGUGUUGUUGCUAGUUAGCAACUGCCGCAGAGUGUUCUUUUCCCUCCUGCGCCACGCGUCGGUAAAUUAGGGAAUGAUCUUGCGCCCCAAGGGGUGGUUCAGCGAAAGGAGGAGGCGUGUUCUGGCGCAAAUGUUCCCUGGGGCUAUUUUGCAGAUUCAGAAAUCACUUUCGCCACAAACCAGGAAAUACCUGGUUUAAAGUCAGUGGCGCGUUGUUCAGAUGCUAUUUUAAGGGCGCAUGCAUAAUGUUGCUUGUGCACCUCGCGCAUACACUUUGCUACUCUCAUCUACCUAGCCACACCUUCUGGGUAAAUUAUUUGGGAAAGAACAGCUGAUACAGCGGUAAUAAGUUGUACUUUUAAAUCAAUGCAUCUGCAAACACCGUACUGCAAAUACAUAUUUUCUUGACACAGACAUCGUGUACAUGCCCAUAACUUUUAGGAUUGAUGAGUAUUUGAUUGUGAGAAAACAUUGUCUUAUUGCGAGUGACGGGUUAAAAAGAAUGAAUGAAUGUGGGUACGAGUGUGUGCAUGUGUACAAUUAUUAAUGAAUGCGGGCGCUCGUUUGUGCGUCCAUCUGUUUAAACACACGCAAACUAAACACGUAACGCAUAAUACAGUCCAUGGCAAAGUAUAAUAACGGGGGGACAUAUGAAUAUUAGGAACACAAGUCGAUAUCGAUAAUGCAUACAAUACUGAUAAGAAACGAUGUUUAUAAUGUAUUGUGUAUAUCAUUAAAUAGAAGCACAGUUACCGCAUAUCAUAUGUGUGUUAAGUUUUCUGAAGUUGUGGGAGAAAAGCUUAUUCCAUGUGUGAAUUAGGCCAUAUUAUUUGUCCAUAAACUGAGCCAUUUGAAGUUUGAUUUCAUGUUCAUCUGUCUCAUCGGAGACUGCAGACGUGCUGUCAAUAUAUCAACUCGUCAGAUUCAAAUGGGGAUGGGAGCUGGCACUCUCAUUGGUUUAUUGCACGUUACGCCCAAACCACACCUACGGGUAAUUAGGCUACUUCAGACCAACCCUUUUUAGAUAUGCGCCGGGCGCAAGAGUAAUUUUUGCGCCGGUAAAAUAGCGACAUCGCCAUAGAACCGCCCACAAAGUUACUUGCGCUUCGCACUUCUCACUUGCGCUUCAGACCGUUAAAAUAGGGCCCCUAGAGUUCAUAUAGUUACGUGCUUUAUUUGUUAACUGCUAUCAAGGAAUAUGACUCUCCUUUGUAGUAUGCCUGAGAGGAGUGUCUGGUGAUAAUGCAGUGGGCUGGUCUGGACAGAAAAUGCUAGGGCAGAAUUUUUGUCCCACUCCACCCCAGGCGAGCUCACACAUGUCUUCCACACACACGUGCAUAAUAUGGCGCAAUAUAACUACAGGCUGGGCCAAAGGCAAUAAAGUAAAUAGCUAAACAAGUAGAGGAGCACCAGAUGUGUGAUUGAGUGGCUUGAGAGCAUUGAAUAUUGACUUUGUUAUUACACGUAGGGGCAGGGGAGAGAGUUUCUGAAGAAAGUAA